rnacentral:rRNA from 1 species
UACGUAGGGGGCAAGCGUUGUCCGGAAUCAUUGGGCGUAAAGCGCGUGUAGGCGGCUCGAUAAGUCUGCUGUGAAAGUCCAGGGCUCAACCCUGGGAUGCCGGUGGAUACUGUCGAGCUCGAGUCCGGAAGAGGCGAGUGGAAUUCCUGGUGUAGCGGUGAAAUGCGCAGAUAUCAGGAGGAACACCGGUGGCGAAGGCGGCUCUCUGGUCCGGUACUGACACUCAAGUACGAAAGCGUGGGGAGCAAACAGG